GAGCUUCACAGUGCUCGAUUUUCAUUUGAGCAAGCCCGUUUCAACCUGGUCACUUCACUUUCCCAUGUCGAGGCAAAGAAGAGAUAUGAAUUUUUGGAGGCUGUUAGUGCGACGAUGGACUCAGAUCUUCGAUAUUUUAAACAAGGAUAUGAACUAUUGCAUCAAAUGGAACCAUAUAUUAAUCAGUAGUUGGGAGAGGUGAUCUUUGCAUGAGUCCAGUAGAAUUUGAACCUUCUGUAAGUGAUGAUUUAGUACUGGAGAAGAAAUCUGGAAAUGGGCAGCAUGAUGUCAGAGGCACACAUCAUCACAGAACCAGCAUGAAACCUGAAAAACCAAUUGACUUGCUUAGGAAAGUUGAUGGCAAUAAUAUGUGUGCUGACUGUGGUGCUUCAGAACCUGAUUGGGCAUCAUUAAACCUUGGCGCACUUCUAUGCAUAGAGUGUUCUGGGGUGCACAGAAAUCUUGGAGUGCAUAUAUCAAA